rnacentral:rRNA from 1 species
GAUGAACGCUGGCGGCGUGCCUAAUACAUGCAAGUCGAGCGAAAAGACGAUGAGCUUGUUCUUCUGACGUUGGCGGCGGACGGGCGAGUAACACGUGGAUCACCUUCCUCUUUGACGGGGAUAACUACGGGAAACCGGAGAUAAUACCAGAGCAUAUAUUGAACCGCAUGGUGCAAUGGUGAAUGACGGCUUUGCGGUCUGUAUUAGCCGGUUCCGGGCUGGAUUAGUUAGUUGGUAAGGUAACGGCUUACCAAGGCAACGAUGCGUAGCCGACCUGAGAGGGUGAUCGGCCACACUGGAACUGAGACACGGUCCAGACUCCUACGGGAGGCAGCAGUAGGGAAUCUUGCGCAAUGGGCGAAAGCUUGACGCAGCGACGCCGCGUGAGUGAAGAAGGCCUUCGGGUCGUAAAACCCUGUUAUUGGGUAAGAACAACUGUGGAUUUAACCAUGCCCGUCUUGACGGUACCGAAUCAAUAAGCCCCGGCUAACUACGUG